AUCCAUGAGAAGACACAGUGUUCCAUCCAGAGGAUGUAGCAUCAAGGCGUCAUCUUAAAAGCAGAGAAAAGACUCUUACUUGACACCAGAUGCCAGUGCAUUGAUCUUGGACUUCCCAGCCUCUAGAACUGUAAACAGCCCUGGGACAAAGAACAGACUACGGGUAUUGCCUUCUUAAUCAACAAUAAAGUAUUAGUUGGCUUCCAGGCAGACACCACUGACUUUCAAGAGAAAGGCACGGGAGUAAGGAAGUAAAGAAUUCAGAAUUCACUAUGGAGCUCAUACAACUACCACCUUCAGCUAUUAAUCAAGGAGUCAUUCAACUGAGAAAGGGGAGAUUGAGAUGUUGAAUCAUUUCUCAUUCUGUGAAGUCUACCAGAAUAACCCAUAAAGCAAAUAUCAACCUAUUUCAAUUAGAAAAAUGAAAAAUACUGAUACAGCAGACGAAUUCUGGAACUAACACUUCCACAAAUCAUUGAUAAUCCAUUUUCCAACUUCUUCAAAUUCCAGACCAUCAACAAGCUAUUCAAAACAAUAAAUGUUAAUAGUUUUGGUGGAGUUAAGCAGCAGAAGUUAAAAGCAUUGUGGAAGACAGUAUGGUGAUUCCUCAAGGAUCUAGAAGCGGAAAUACCAUUUGACCCAGCAAUCCCAUUAUUGGGACAUCAAGGGCUCCGGACAUUGUGAAAGUUUCCCUUUAAGUUACGACGGGAAUCCAGAACAACGCCGUAUGGACCCCUCUGCAGGUAGCAAGGAAAAGCGCCAGUAACUUUUAAAGGCUUGUUUUGCAUAUUAUUCAGGCCUAAAUCACGGUUCUCAUAAAUUGAUUAUCAUGUCCCUUUCAUCUGUCCAUUUAUGCUUCUAAAUGGUUCUUAAUGGUUCACUAUAUUUGAAGGCCAUAACCAUUUGCUGAUGAGUUACUAGUUUAAUUUGUCACUAUUUCUCCAAUACAUAUAUGUAAGUGCUUAUCGUCUUUUAAUCCUAGAUAUUCUUCUGGAAGUAAUAAUAAAAGUUGAAAGCUGGAAGGAAAA
rnacentral:lncRNA from 1 species